rnacentral:rRNA from 1 species
UAGGGAAUCUUCCGCAAUGGACGAAAGUCUGACGGAGCAACGCCGCGUGAGCGAUGAAGGCCUUCGGGUCGUAAAGCUCUGUUGUCAGGGAAGAACAAGUACCGGAGUAACUGCCGGUACCUUGACGGUACCUGACCAGAAAGCCACGGCUAACUACGUGCCAGCAGCCGCGGUAAUACGUAGGUGGCAAGCGUUGUCCGGAAUUAUUGGGCGUAAAGCGCGCGCAGGCGGUUCCUUAAGUCUGAUGUGAAAGCCCCCGGCUCAACCGGGGAGGGUCAUUGGAAACUGGGGAACUUGAGUGCAGAAGAGGAGAGCGGAAUUCCACGUGUAGCGGUGAAAUGCGUAGAGAUGUGGAGGAACACCAGUGGCGAAGGCGGCUCUCUGGUCUGUAACUGACGCUGAGGCGCGAAAGCGUGGGGAGCGAACAGG